UAAAAAGAUUAAAAGCAGUAGAAUCUAAAACAAACCUAUGAAACUGAUACCCUUUUUGUAUGUUAUCUAAACACAGGAGGAAGAGUUAGAAAACAGAAAUUCCAUUCAAAGCAACUUCAAAUUAUAUAGAGCAUCUUGGAUUACCAUGAUCACCUCAAGACUUAAAAGUCAGCUGUCUUUUGCCUUUAAAUGACACCAUGAUGACCUAGCAAGAAUCUGUCUCCUGCCUAUAGUUCUUGACAACUGGACAUUGUACUGACUUUCCCCCCCUCGGUGUUUUUCACUGCUGAAAUCAUGGCUAGGCAAAAGGUCCCUCACAACUAUUGUUACGGUCAUGUGACAGAUAGUCUAUGGAUCCAUAGGUGACCCCAUCCCCUGAUAUUCAGAAGAAGAGGCUCCUGAGGUCCUCUGCCAGACAACAAAGCCAUGGAACAAAGAAAUGAAAACAAAGCACAUGCUCAUGAACUAAAGAAUGCCUAAACAACUUUUAUUACAUAAAUGUAAUGGAAUAUUACUGAACUCUAAGAAAUGCUCAAUAUGAAAAAUACAGAGAAACA